CACUUCCUGCUGCCAGCUGCCGAUUUUUUAUCUGAACCCCUGCUGCAUGUUUGUUCACGCUGCAGUUAAGAGUCCCGUCAGUCAGAUUUAGCACAGGCGUCCGGAUCUCCACACAUGCCCUGGCCACCCACCAGCCCAACGAGUGGCUCUAAUGACACCCCCCACGGCCACACGUGCUCAGGAUAUGCAACAAACACCUGUUAGAUGGGAAAGCUUGAGUGGUAUCUCCUGACGUCUGACACACGUCUCUUCCCCUGACACCUGAGCUCCUCAUUAAUGCCAGUGCUACUGGGAAAAAGACUGGAACAAGGAAGAAUGGCUGAAUUAAAUUAUGCACAAUCUACUGUUAGACAGAAAAAGAGACAAGAGGGAUGGGCUGAUGAAUAAAGAGACAGCGAGGCAGAGAGGGAGAGAACAGCUGAGGAUUUGAAGAUCUGGGUUGAAAGAAAAUUCUCUCUUGCAGGCCAUAUUUCACUCUGUUUUCUCCCAGUCUUGAUUCAUAAUUUAACUCUAGUUAUUAACAGUCCCAUUUAGUUACUGAUGAAUAUUGUGCACCAGACUUUUUGAGAAUCUCUAGAAAGCAUUGUGUGAUUAUCUAUUCAUUCAUUGCAGUGGUUUGCUGCACUUCAAAAUAAAUUCAUAUUUUAAAAAUUGAUCAAAAACCAAAUAUCUGAGAUAAUUCAACAAGAGCGCGUGUGGAUCAACGGAUUGCCAUAACAUAAAUUGUUUAUUUUAAAAUCUGGAUUUUUAAAAGCUUUUCUUUUUUCAGUUUAGAUAAAAAUGGUGUAAUAAAACUGUAAGACAUUG